GGGUGUUUGUGUCUCGCGCCCCCGCGGCGGCCGGGAUUGGCUGCGGCACCGCACGUGGGGAGCGCGCGCGCCCUCCCGCCCCCUUCGGCCCCGCCCCCGUCCCUGCUGAGGCGCUAAAACCUAAAUCGCGUGAAAUCCUCGCGUUGUCGGCAAAGUACAGCCUUAGGGGUGUGAGUUUGGUGGUUUUGGUUUAAUUUUAAAACAGAUGGGAUGCGUCAUUUUUAAUUUGGAGUGACUUGAAAAUUACAUGUAGCCAAUUUUAAUUGCAGUACCCUACCACUUUAAAAUAAACAAAUUACUCGAAAUAAGUACGAAUCGUAGGAAGAAACUCGUCCUUUUGACAGUUCUUUCCCUGGAGCUGGUCCCUGGGUUGGUGAGGAGUCCAUUGCACCCAUCUGGAAGUUGACACAAACUGGAUGAAGUACAGUCCGGGUAUCAGCACAGGGAGAGCAGUAGGAAUGCUUGGAGGGAAGCAGGUAGACUGCAGACAGAGAUGAACCAACCUUUUGUCCAGGGGCUCCAUCUUCUCCUGGAAGACCAGGCAGACCUGCCAGUCCUGAAGGCCCUGGCUCACCCUAACAUCAGUAAAAAAGAGCUCUUUGGAUAUUAAUGUUUGAUUUGGAGCUCGUUGGAUCGAGCUGCUCUUGUCUGAUUGCAACAGAAAUCUUUUAAUUGUCAGUGAACACUCAUCCAGACUGUGGCCUCUUACAUUCCAUCCAAAAAUUUGUAUCAUUCCCAUUCCUGAAAUUUCAGUCAUUUCAAUAAUGGCUUUACCUCCAAAGUCUUCACAAGGUUUCUAAAGUGGGAGUGGAAUUACAGAAAUUUUUGACAGUAUCCGUGAUCACAAGUGUGAGCCCUUCAUGAAAACAGAGCAUAUAGAGGCUGAGGAAUUUGCUCCAGAACAGAUGCCCCAAGGAAUAAAAAACUGAAGGAGGUGCAACAAGAAAAAAACAAAGCAUAAAAGAGAGCAGACUGUCUUCAGUACUUUCCCAUUUUAACUCUAGACAAUACAGCCAAAAACUUGCUCUGAGCAUUUUAGUGAAUCAGAUUAAUGCCUGCAAGGAAAUAUUAGGAAGACCAGAAAAUACUAGCAAGGAAGGAAAAGGAACUGUCCAUGUAGAAGAAUAUAUGAUCCAUACUAAGGUAACUGCAGGUAUAGCAACAGAAAUAAAUAAAGGGAAGAGCAAGAUUUGGGGUUAAUGUUCUCUUUCAUCAAAAAGACUUUUGUGCAGAAAUGGAAGAGUG